GGAAUCUUAGACAAUGGGGGCAACCCUGAUCUAGCCAUGCCGCGUGUGUGAUGAAGGCCCUAGGGUCGUAAAGCACUUUCGCCAGAGAUGAUAAUGACAGUAUCUGGUAAAGAAACCCCGGCUAACUCCGUGCCAGCAGCCGCGGUAAUACGGAGGGGGUUAGCGUUGUUCGGAAUUACUGGGCGUAAAGCGCACGUAGGCGGAUUAGUAAGUUAGAGGUGAAAUCCCAGGGCUCAACCCUGGAACUGCCUUUAAUACUGCUAGUCUUGAGUUCGAGAGAGGUAAGUGGAAUUCCGAGUGUAGAGGUGAAAUUCGUAGAUAUUCGGAGGAACACCAGUGGCGAAGGCGGCUUACUGGCUCGAUACUGACGCUGAGGUGCGAAAGUGUGGGGAGCAAACAGGAUUAGAUACCCUGGUAGUCCACACCGUAAACGAUGAAUGCCAGACGUCAGCAAGUAUACUUGUUGGUGUCACACCUAACGGAUUAAGCAUUCCGCCUG
rnacentral:rRNA from 1 species